AUUGGUUAAAAAUCAUCUGCGGCUUUGGCUAUGCCUGUGGGUGAGAUUUGGCACCCAGAGCCACAGGAGGCCUCAGCUCACUGCCUCUCAUGGGUGUGGAGAGGUGAAACCCAAGCCCCAACCUGC
ensembl:snoRNA